AUAUAUGGCGGUGGGACCCAUCAGUUUGUACGGUAGAUACACUGUUGCCUGCCUUGGUCGCAACAGGGGGAGUCGGCAGAGAAGAGAACAGAGAAGGCGGUUCUUGAUCUCGGGAGAUCACCACGUUAUGCCUACUUCGCCUUCGCCUGCUCCAAUGCCCUCUCCCCUUCCUGUCUCCCGGAAGAGUACGCGUUGCCUGGUCGGCACGGGAUCUCGGAACCCGGUGAUGAGGGCAUACGCUUCUUGGAUUGGCUCGGCUCUGCCUGCACAUCGGUUUGGCAGGAGGAAGCCCAGGGAAGAUGGAACACCUUUCUCAGGCCAGGUACCUCUACUUAUGGCAAUUCAAAUGGAGAACACUAAAUACUUUAAUGAAACCGGCUAGUAGUUUGAGGAACCAUUUCAGGUUGCAUCUUGGGUUUUUCUUAUACGAGCAUCCCCUUGUCGGAGAGUAUGCUCUAUCUGAGACACAAAUGGAUCUUCUCCCUUACGGUCUAAGGUGACUCAGAUAUGGUAGGUUAUAUUGUGGGCCUUAUGUUGCUUCUAAAUAAAUUUUGAUGAUCAGAAAAGAACAUAUGGAUGGUGAUGGGUUCUGAUGAUUUAUGUAUUGAACUGUUGCUGAUAAGAGGGAAGGUAUUUACAUUUGGCAUUAUGUCAUCCUAUCAUCGUUGUUCAAGUAAUUUGAAUGAAUUGUUGCUUUCUCAUAAGCUCAAGGUGCCCAGCAGUAGACUUUUCAGCCAUGCAUUCAGCACUUCUUCAUCUACCAAGAAGUUAAAGUAGUGAUUAUCCCUUUGCAGCCAAACCUAGAUUGAAACUAUGUCUAAAACAUAAUAGCUUACAUGCCAUUUUUUGUGGUUUGCCAUGGAAUUUAUUUUUCUUCUGGGUUUAUGAUUCAAGGACUAUAUUUAGUUACUAGUAAUGUGAAAAUAGUGCUUGAUUUGUUUGAUUUAAGUGCUACUUUAGUCGUUUGCAAAGUAACAAUGUUGGUUGCCUUUGUAUGUACAUAUGAGAAGAGCUUCAAAUUGAUUCUCUUGUUUGUGUUAACUUUUUACUUUGAUAAAAUGGCAGGUUAAAUAGGGAACCCUUAUUUAAAUUCAAGAAAAAAGGACAAGGAUGGCGUCAUCUUGACGUCCACAGUUGCAAAAACACAGUUGGACUCGAAACAGUGAUCUCAUAUAUGCUAUUAAGGGAAGCAGAGUCUCUUUGUCAUGUAUCUAUGUAGAGAACAAGAUGAGAACAGAUAACACUCGAGGAACCAAAAGUCCUAUAUAAUCUUCCUCGCCACCGUUCCAGUCAGGUAGCGACAACUGCUUUACUGAUGGGAGAGGUACCAAUGUGAAUGAUUUAAGCUCCACCCACCAGCCUUCAUCCGCUAAUCAAGCUGAGUGCAUUCAACCUCUUUGAGAGCGUUUUGCGAUGGAUCUUUUUCAAACCUGGAUGUAAUUGCAGAACCGGUUAUUGCUUUGUGGAUGGGAAUGACACUAUAAUCACUCGAGGAAGCAGUACACAUCAGGCCUCCACCCCACUCCAAGCGGAAUGCUGAGCCAUUUGAUACAAGACAAGGAACAUAUGGGCCGGGAGCCUCCUUUUUUCAUAAGAUGAAGGUGACAUUCCUGACAUUUUCUCCAUAUAAAUCCAACCAGAGAAAGUUCCUCGACGAACAAAGCCGCCUAAGAGUUAGCUCCGUGUAUGGUAAGCAAUCCCAGACGCAAAAGUGAACCUAACAUUUAACAUUCCAUCAUCAUCCACAAUUUUUCCAGGGGAAACAAAUUAAGCUCAUAACAUCCAUAACGACAAAGGAAAUUACACCGGUGCAACCCAAGCAGUCACCAUCUUCUAGCCAACAAUACAAAGCACGCAACACCAGGGAGUGAGCCUGUGUGUGUGUGAAUGUGUGUGUGUGUGUGUGUUGCAGGCAGCCACUGUCUCACGCACCUAUACAGCACUGGAAGCAGCC